GAAGAGGAGGCAACAGGCAGGAAAGGAGAAGCGAAGCCGCAGAGAGACCUGGAGACAGCCAGCAUUCCCAGAAACCCGUCCCACUUGGUGCUUUCCUGUGCUGUCUCAGUGGCAGCAGAGGCCUGAGAACAGGGAUUUGCUACAGAAAGCGCAUUCAGGCUGAGCGCUGGGUGCGUGUCACCACUCAGCUCCCAAACCGUAGCGACUGAGUCACCGGGAGAUGGCUGGAGGCAGCCCUGCUGCGGGGAGGAGGGGGCUGAGACACCCCGCGGGGGAGUCCCUCAUGAGCAUGGCAGAUACCUCCCAGAAGCACGCGUCCUUGUCUGGGAGAGGAGGAGGAGGGCAGACGGUCCCAGAACGAGAAGGAACGAGGCGUUUCAGUCCGUGGUGCUGCCGCCGCUUGCUGGGGUCACUUGGGGACCCGUGGAGCACAAACCUUGGGCUUGGUCCCGCUCCUCCUCCCGGCGGCCUCUCGCUGAUGACAGAUAGGGCAUGCCUCUGUGCUUCCUCGCUGCUCGCCACAUUCUCUGAGAGCCUCGACGCGGGUGGGACGUGGCCCUGCUCGGGGUGGUGGCUGAGCUCUUCUCCGUGCUGGUGCUCGGGGAGGGCUGGGUGCCCCAGGCGCUGGAGCAGCUUGGUGUUCUCUGCCAGCCCAGCUGGGUGGCCCCGAGGACCACAGGCAUUUCCCCGCGUCCUGCCCAAGCUGUGCCCAGAAAGCGCAGCCCCUGAAGACACAAUGUCCCAAACCACAGCACUCCUCGGCACCCUUCGCUGUCCUGCAUCUGUACCAAAGCACAGCGGAGGAGCCAGGCGAUGCUUCCUAUAGCAGACCAUGCACUCCAUGCAGACCCUGCUUGCAGAUCUCCACUGGGGCUCUUUGGCAGCUUGCAAAGAGCAACCAGCACUGCACAGCUCUCCCUGGUCACCCAGAAUCGCUCCCUUUGCAGAGUGGCAGAGCAGGAAAGGAACACGAGGAGCUUCCUUGGCCUCUCAGCCCCAGCGAUGGGAUGGGACCAACCCCUGGGUGCUUCCCCUGCCCUCCUGCAGCGUGCCAAGAGCCGGGCGAACGCCCACCACUUGCUGCCCGCUCCCUUGCAUCGUCCUCAGGGGAGCCGACAUGUGCAGCGCAGUGCUUUGUUUUGGUAGCUGUGCCUUCUUGUUGUUGUUAUUUUUAAUCUGCAUAUUGUUUGGGAUUUGCGUCAGAGGCAGCAGGUUGAAGAAAGGCACCUGGCUCUGCGCGGAACGUGCCAAGGCUGGGAAUGGCCCCAGCUCCCGGGCUGCGGGUGCCGCCAGCAGCACCUCGCGCUGCCCAGCCCUCACCCCAUCACCCACAGCAUCCAGACCCAAAACCGGGGUGUAAACCCCGAGGCAGAGCAGAGCCUGCAGCCCGAGGGGUGACACCGAAGGGCUGAGCGAAGGCAGGUCCCAGACACAGGGAGCCCGAGGCUUGCUGCGUGCAUCCGUCCCGCGAGGCACAGCCCAGCUUCGGCAACGGAGAAUGGAGACAAAGCCCAGCAAGGUGGGCGCACGAGGGUGAAGCUGCCCUGUUGGGGACACGGGAGGAAUGGCAGAGCCCAGGGGAAGCCACAAGGCUGUGGCUCCAGCAUGGCCUCCCUCCCCUCAGCCUUGCUGUUCUCCUCCUGCUCCCCUGGGCACCCAGGUCUCUGCUCUCCUCCUCCCCACCUGCAGGAGAUCCCCUUCUUCCCUGCCCUGCUCGGCACUCAGUAACCUUUCUGUGCGCUGUGCAUGCCUCAAGGAAUUAAAAAAAGACACACCAGGAUCUCACUGAAAGCAACCAACUGUUCCCCUCGCAUGUAAAUGUUGCUGCUCUUUUGAUUUUAAAUGGCUUUAAUGCUGAGUUCAUCUGCUAAUUCCCCUCCUGCCCCUUGUGUAUUGUAUAUUAGGAGAAAUGUUGUUCUGUAUCAUGAGCAGUUUAUUUUAUCGAGUUUAAGAGAAAAUCCCAUACUGAGAUGCUGCAGAUAAAUAUUCAUUGUCACAUCUGUUUUGGUUUAAGAUUGUUGCCUAAAAUGUUAAAAAUACAAACAUAUUUGGCGGGGGAGAGACUGGGGUGGGAGGGUUGGUGUGGGCUGCUGGAGUCUGGGCCUUUAGUGCAGCUCAUCAGGCGUUUUAUCGCCGGCACGGAGAGGAAUGGCAAUGAGGGGGAAUCUCACUCAGGGGAAGGAGAGGAGCAGCAGCCAGACGAGCCCCAGACAGCGCAGCGCUCGGUGCGGUGCCCGCACACCGACCUGCCAGGCACAGGGCCGCCCGUGGGGCGCCCAGCACCCUCCUGCCACAGCACCGCCGGGGCUCCCGCAGCUCCUCAGGGCCAUGCAGCGAGGAGCAGACGGAAAAAGGCAGGGCGGGAGGCUGGCCCAGCCUGCAGGGCUGCGGGCUGCCCCGGGAGGGGUGCCGUGCCAUGGGCUGGGUGGAUGUGGUGGGUGCUGGAGGUCGGGCUCCAGCCCAGCUCCCAGGUGGCCGACUGAGGUCCCCCGGGCCUGGUGGGGUGGUCUGUGCGUGGAAGUGGUCCAGGCCCAUCCAUAGCCAAGGGAUGUCCUCAUGGCAAACGAGAGUCCUGGGUGAUGGGCACCCAUGAACCCACCCAGAAGGGAUGCCAGGGGCUUGGCAGGGUCCUGCUGCCUCCGAGGAGGGGUCUGUCCGCGUCAGGCUGGGACACACGGCGAUGGGCACUGGGGGACAGCAGGAGGGAUGCUUGGCUCGGUGGAGUCUGUGCUGUCCCUGCACCAGCAAUGAUCAGGGCCUUUUCCUCCCCGGGGCUGCCAGUUCAUUACUUCUACUCAGCAGUGAAAUUUUAUUUUAAAUUUAAAUAAAAUAAAAUAAACUAGCUUGACCUUUUUUUUA
rnacentral:lncRNA from 1 species